AGAGUUUGAUCCUGGCUCAGGACGAACGCUGGCGGCGUGCCUAAUACAUGCAAGUCGAACGCUUCUUUUUCCACCGGAGCUUGCUCCACCGGAAAAAGAGGAGUGGCGAACGGGUGAGUAACACGUGGGUAACCUGCCCAUCAGAAGGGGAUAACACUUGGAAACAGGUGCUAAUACCGUAUAACAAUCAAAACCGCAUGGUUUUGAUUUGAAAGGCGCUUUCGGGUGUCGCUGAUGGAUGGACCCGCGGUGCAUUAGCUAGUUGGUGAGGUAACGGCUCACCAAGGCCACGAUGCAUAGCCGACCUGAGAGGGUGAUCGGCCACAUUGGGACUGAGACACGGCCCAAACUCCUACGGGAGGCAGCAGUAGGGAAUCUUCGGCAAUGGACGAAAGUCUGACCGAGCAACGCCGCGUGAGUGAAGAAGGUUUUCGGAUCGUAAAACUCUGUUGUUAGAGAAGAACAAGGAUGAGAGUAACUGUUCAUCCCUUGACGGUAUCUAACCAGAAAGCCACGGCUAACUACGUGCCAGCAGCCGCGGUAAUACGUAGGUGGCAAGCGUUGUCCGGAUUUAUUGGGCGUAAAGCGAGCGCAGGCGGUUUCUUAAGUCUGAUGUGAAAGCCCCCGGCUCAACCGGGGAGGGUCAUUGGAAACUGGGAGACUUGAGUGCAGAAGAGGAGAGUGGAAUUCCAUGUGUAGCGGUGAAAUGCGUAGAUAUAUGGAGGAACACCAGUGGCGAAGGCGGCUCUCUGGUCUGUAACUGACGCUGAGGCUCGAAAGCGUGGGGAGCAAACAGGAUUAGAUACCCUGGUAGUCCACGCCGUAAACGAUGAGUGCUAAGUGUUGGAGGGUUUCCGCCCUUCAGUGCUGCAGCUAACGCAUUAAGCACUCCGCCUGGGGAGUACGACCGCAAGGUUGAAACUCAAAGGAAUUGACGGGGGCCCGCACAAGCGG
rnacentral:rRNA from 1 species